UACGAGGGGGGCGAGCGUUGUUUGGAAUUAUUGGGCGUAAAGGGUGCGUAGGCGGUUUGGUAAGUCUGAUGUGAAAUCUAUGGGCUCAACUCAUAGUCUGCAUCGGAAACUGCCGGGCUUGAGUGUGGGAGAGGUGAGUGGAAUUCCUGGUGUAGCGGUGAAAUGCGUAGAUAUCAGGAGGAACACCUGUGGCGAAAGCGGCUCACUGGACCAUAACUGACGCUGAUGCACGAAAGCUAGGGGAGCAAACAGG
rnacentral:rRNA from 1 species